CCCACCAGUGUUUACCCCUUACUGAGUGAGACACAAGGUGGAGUUCCCAGAGCUCCUUUCUGCACUUCAGGGUGCCCCGAAGGCUGCCCGUCCUAUUCUUUGCACGUUCUCCUUGGCUCUGGCCUUUCACCGUGGUGUUCUCCUUCCUUUUCCUUCCCUUUUCCCUUGGCGUUCCCUACUGCAUUCUCUUGCCCUCGUGUUUUUGCAUUCCAUGUCAUGUUCUCUUGGCCAUUGCCCUUGACUUUCUUGGCCACAUUCACUUCAACAUUCAGUUUUGGCGUUCCCUGCAGUGCUCUCUUGCCCUUCUGUUUUGGCGUUUCUUGUCGUGUUCUCUUGGCCAUUUCCUUGGCAUUUCCUUCCACAUUCUCUUGGCCCUUACCUAGGCGUUCCCUUGCCCUCCUGUUCUUGCGUUCCAUGCCACAUUCUCUUGGCUAUUGAACUUGUUUUUCUUCUGCCACGUUCUCUUCAGCAUUCAGUUUUGGCGUUCCCUGCAGUGUUCUCUUGCCCUCCUGUUUGGGCAUUUCCUGCGGCGUUCUCUUUGGCAUCAUGUUCUGCUGUUCCCAGCCACCUUCUCUCAGCCUUCUGCCUUGGCCUUCUUUGCC
rnacentral:lncRNA from 1 species